CAGUCGCCGCGGGAAUACAGAGGGUGCGAGCGUUAAUCGGAUUUACUGGGUGUAAAGCGUGCGUAGGCGGCUUCUUAAGUCGGAUGUGAAAUCCCUGAGCUUAACUUAGGAAUUGCAUUCGAUACUGGGAAGCUAGAGUAUGGGAGAGGAUGGUAGAAUUCCAGGUGUAGCGGUGAAAUGCGUAGAGAUCUGGAGGAAUACCGAUGGCGAAGGCAGCCAUCUGGCCUAAUACUGACGCUGAGGUACGAAAGCAUGGGGAGCAAACAGGAUUAGAUACCCGUGUAGUCCCUGUCUCUUAUAC
rnacentral:rRNA from 1 species